UACUAGAUAUGCGAAUAGAUCAGUCCGGUUAUAAUUGUCAACAAGCUCGCAGCCACCCAUUGAUAAGCAAUGUUUCCUACCGGUUAUUAAAUAUGUGAAGUGUGACAAAGUGUAAAAAAAGUUAGUAAAUUUUAGUGAAUAAAUUUUACAUUGCUAAAAUUCAGUACAAAAAGAAUGCGGCGAAUAAUCAUAUUGCUACUGAUAUUAUGCAGUGCUAAAUGCCAAGAAAGUGCCCAA
rnacentral:lncRNA from 1 species